rnacentral:rRNA from 1 species
AAGAUUAAACUGAAGAGUUUGAUCAUGGCUCAGAUUGAACGCUGGCGGCAGGCUUAACACAUGCAAGUCGAGCGGUAACAGAUCUAGCUUGCUAGAUGCUGACGAGCGGCGGACGGGUGAGUAACGCGUAGGAACCUGCCCAGUAGUGGGGGAUAGCCCGGUGAAAACCGGAUUAAUACCGCAUAAG